rnacentral:rRNA from 1 species
CCCUUAGAUGUUCUGGGCCGCACGCGCGCUACACUGAUGCAUUCAACGAGUCUAAAACCUGGUCUGAUAGGGCUGGGUAAUCUUUUGAAUGUGCAUCGUGAUUGGGAUAGAUGAUUGCAAUUAUUAAUCUUCAACGAGGAAUGCCUAGUAAGCGCAAGUCAUCAGCUUGCGUUGAUUACGUCCCUGCCCUUUGUACACACCGCCCGUCGCUCCUACCGAUUGAAUGGUCCGGUGAAGCGUUCGGACCGUGGCCUUUGGACGGUUCGCCGUCUGUUGGCUGCGGGAAGUUCGUUAAACCUUAUCAUUUAGAGGAAGGAGAAGUCGUAACA